AUUGAACGCUGGCGGCAGGCCUAACACAUGCAAGUCGAACGGUAACAGAAAGCAGCUUGCUGCUUUGCUGACGAGUGGCGGACGGGUGAGUAAUGUCUGGGAAACUGCCUGAUGGAGGGGGAUAACUACUGGAAACGGUAGCUAAUACCGCAUAACGUCGCAAGACCAAAGAGGGGGACCUUCGGGCCUCUUGCCAUCGGAUGUGCCCAGAUGGGAUUAGCUAGUAGGUGGGGUAAMGGCUCACCUAGGCGACGAUCCCUAGCUGGUCUGAGAGGAUGACCAGCCACACUGGAACUGAGACACGGUCCAGACUCCUACGGGAGGCAGCAGUGGGGAAUAUUGCACAAUGGGCGCAAGCCUGAUGCAGCCAUGCCGCGUGUAUGAAGAAGGCCUUCGGGUUGUAAAGUACUUUCAGCGGGGAGGAAGGGAGUAAAGUUAAUACCUUUGCUCAUUGACGUUACCCGCAGAAGAAGCACCGGCUAACUCCGUG
rnacentral:rRNA from 1 species